ACUACGGGUGGCAGCAGUGGGGGAUAUUGCACAAUGGGGGGAACCCUGAUGCAGCGACGCCGCGUGGGUGAAGAAGCGCCUCGGCGCGUAAAGCCCUGUCAGCAGGGAAGAAAAUGACGGUACCUGAAGAAGAAGCCCCGGCUAACUACGUGCCAGCAGCCGCGGUAAUACGUAGGGGGCAAGCGUUAUCCGGAUUUACUGGGUGUAAAGGGGGCGCAGACGGCGAUGCAAGCCAGGAGUGAAAGCCCGGGGCCCAACCCCGGGACUGCUCUUGGAACUGCGUGGCUGGAGUGCAGGAGGGGCAGGCGGAAUUCCUGGUGUAGCGGUGAAAUGCGUAGAUAUCAGGAGGAACACCGGUGGCGAAGGCGGCCUGCCGGACUGCAACUGACGUUGAGGCCCGAAAGUGUGGGGAGCAAACAGGAUUAGAUACCCCAGUAGUC
rnacentral:rRNA from 1 species